ACUACUGCACGCUUAACUGCUUCAAUUUUCUCAAUUAUUCUCUCUGCACAACGAAGCUCCGUAAUUAUCAAUGGCGAUUGAUUUAUCAAUUUGAAGGCUUGACAAUUUUGAUUUCAUCUUCUUCUUCACAAGUACGAAUAACUUCGAUUAAAGAAUUUGAAGGCUCGAUAAUUAUCAAGGGUGAUGUUGGUGUGCUGCAAUGUGUGGCGUGGCUAUACGUGAGGACUGUAGCAACAGCUUAGUGUUGGCUGGGAACGAUGGCUACAAAAUUGCUGGUAGCAGGGAAUGGUUGGUGGCGUAGAUAUUAGGAUGUGUGGCCUGCUAUGGUGUUAUUGUUGUUGUUGUGCGUGUGAUUGGGUAAGGUGAGGGUGGAGUUGUGGUGUAAGAUAAGAGCUUUGGUGGAGUUGUGCGUGUGAUUGGGUAAGGUGAGGGUGGAGUUGUGGUGUAAGAUAAGAGCUUUGGUCAAAUGAUCAAACUAAUUCUUGAUUGUCUGUACAAAUAAGAAAGAGCAAGGAAUAAAUUGGUGCAUAAUAUUUGUCUUA